rnacentral:rRNA from 1 species
GGUUAAGCGACUAAGCGUACACGGUGGAUGCCCUGGCAGUCAGAGGCGAUGAAGGGCGUGCUAAUCUGCGAUAAGCGCCGGUAAGGUGAUAUGAACCGUUAUAACCGGCGAUACCCGAAUGGGGAAACCCAGUGUGAUUCGUCACACUAUCAUUAACUGAAUCCAUAGGUUAAUGAGGCGAACCGGGGGAACUGAAACAUCUAAGUACCCCGAGGAAAAGAAAUCAACCGAGAUUCCCCCAGUAGCGGCGAGCGAACGGGGAGGAGCCCAGAGCCUGAAUCAGCAUGUGUGUUAGUGGAAGCGUCUGGAAAGGCGCGCGAUACAGGGUGACAGCCCCGUACACAAAAGCGCAUAUGCUGUGAGCUCGAUGAGUAGGGCGGGACACGUGGUAUCCUGUCUGAAUAUGGGGGGACCAUCCUCCAAGGCUAAAUACUCCUGACUGACCGAUAGUGAACCAGUACCGUGAGGGAAAGGCGAAAAGAACCCCGGCGAGGGGAGUGAAAAAGAACCUGAAACCGUGUACGUACAAGCAGUGGGAGCCCCACCACUAAGCCAGUGGUGAACUCCACAUACGCAUCCUUUGCUGAGGAUACGGUUAACGGAGCGAAAGCGACGUUCAACCUCAAAAGAAGCAGAGGGGGCUUAGUGGUGGGGUGACUGCGUACCUUUUGUAUAAUGGGUCAGCGACUUAUAUUCUGUAGCAAGGUUAACCGAAUAGGGGAGCCGGAGGGAAACCGAGUCUUAAUUGGGCGUUAAGUUGCAGGGUAUAGACCCGAAACCCGGUGAUCUAGCCAUGGGCAGGUUGAAGGUUGGGUAACACUAACUGGAGGACCGAACCGACUAAUGUUGAAAAAUUAGCGGAUGACCUGUGGCUGGGGGUGAAAGGCCAAUCAAACCGGGAGAUAGCUGGUUCUCCCCGAAAGCUAUUUAGGUAGCGCCUCGUGAAUUCAUCUCCGGGGGUAGAGCACUGUUUCGGCUAGGGGGCCAUCCCGGCUUACCAACCCGAUGCAAACUGCGAAUACCGGAGAAUGUUAUCACGGGAGACACACGGCGGGUGCUAACGUCCGUCGUGAAGAGGGAAACAACCCAGACCGCCAGCUAAGGUCCCAAAGUCAUGGUUAAGUGGGAAACGAUGUGGGAAGGCCCAGACAGCCAGGAUGUUGGCUUAGAAGCAGCCAUCAUUUAAAGAAAGCGUAAUAGCUCACUGGUCGAGUCGGCCUGCGCGGAAGAUGUAACGGGGCUAAACCAUGCACCGAAGCUGCGGCAGCGACGCUGAUGCGUUGUUGGGUAGGGGAGCGUUCUGUAAGCCUGUGAAGGUGGCCUGUGAGGGUUGCUGGAGGUAUCAGAAGUGCGAAUGCUGACAUAAGUAACGAUAAAGCGGGUGAAAAGCCCGCUCGCCGGAAGACCAAGGGUUCCUGUCCAACGUUAAUCGGGGCAGGGUGAGUCGACCCCUAAGGCGAGGCCGAAAGGCGUAGUCGAUGGGAAACGGGUUAAUAUUCCCGUACUUGGUGUUACUGCGAAGGGGGGACGGAGAAGGCUAUGUUGGCCGGGCGACGGUUGUCCCGGUUUAAGCGUGUAGGCUGGUUUUCCAGGCAAAUCCGGAAAAUCAAGGCUGAGGCGUGAUGACGAGGCACUACGGUGCUGAAGCAACAAAUGCCCUGCUUCCAGGAAAAGCCUCUAAGCAUCAGGUAACAUCAAAUCGUACCCCAAACCGACACAGGUGGUCAGGUAGAGAAUACCAAGGCGCUUGAGAGAACUCGGGUGAAGGAACUAGGCAAAAUGGUGCCGUAACUUCGGGAGAAGGCACGCUGACAUGUAGGUGAAGUGAUUUACUCAUGGAGCUGAAGUCAGUCGAAGAUACCAGCUGGCUGCAACUGUUUAUUAAAAACACAGCACUGUGCAAACACGAAAGUGGACGUAUACGGUGUGACGCCUGCCCGGUGCCGGAAGGUUAAUUGAUGGGGUCAGCGCAAGCGAAGCUCCUGAUCGAAGCCCCGGUAAACGGCGGCCGUAACUAUAACGGUCCUAAGGUAGCGAAAUUCCUUGUCGGGUAAGUUCCGACCUGCACGAAUGGCGUAAUGAUGGCCAGGCUGUCUCCACCCGAGACUCAGUGAAAUUGAACUCGCUGUGAAGAUGCAGUGUACCCGCGGCAAGACGGAAAGACCCCGUGAACCUUUACUAUAGCUUGACACUGAACAUUGAGCCUUGAUGUGUAGGAUAGGUGGGAGGCUUUGAAGUGUGGACGCCAGUCUGCAUGGAGCCGACCUUGAAAUACCACCCUUUAAUGUUUGAUGUUCUAACGUGGACCCGUAAUCCGGGUUGCGGACAGUGUCUGGUGGGUAGUUUGACUGGGGCGGUCUCCUCCUAAAGAGUAACGGAGGAGCACGAAGGUUGGCUAAUCCUGGUCGGACAUCAGGAGGUUAGUGCAAUGGCAUAAGCCAGCUUGACUGCGAGCGUGACGGCGCGAGCAGGUGCGAAAGCAGGUCAUAGUGAUCCGGUGGUUCUGAAUGGAAGGGCCAUCGCUCAACGGAUAAAAGGUACUCCGGGGAUAACAGGCUGAUACCGCCCAAGAGUUCAUAUCGACGGCGGUGUUUGGCACCUCGAUGUCGGCUCAUCACAUCCUGGGGCUGAAGUAGGUCCCAAGGGUAUGGCUGUUCGCCAUUUAAAGUGGUACGCGAGCUGGGUUUAGAACGUCGUGAGACAGUUCGGUCCCUAUCUGCCGUGGGCGCUGGAGAACUGAGGGGGGCUGCUCCUAGUACGAGAGGACCGGAGUGGACGCAUCACUGGUGUUCGGGUUGUCAUGCCAAUGGCACUGCCCGGUAGCUAAAUGCGGAAGAGAUAAGUGCUGAAAGCAUCUAAGCACGAAACUUGCCCCGAGAUGAGUUCUCCCUGAGACUUAGAGUCUCCUGAAGGAACGUUGAAGACGACGACGUUGAUAGGCCGGGUGUGUAAGCGCAGCGAUGCGUUGAGCUAACCGGUACUAAUGAACCGUGAGGCUUAACCUU